rnacentral:rRNA from 1 species
GACGAAGGAUGCAAGCGUUAUCCGGAUUCAUUGGGUUUAAAGGGAGCGUAGGUGGUCUUAUAGGUCAGUGGUGAAAUCUUUGGGCUUAACCCAAAAAUUGCCAUUGAUACUGUAGGACUUGAGUAUAGUUGCCGUUGGCGGAAUAUGACAUGUAGUGGUGAAAUACAUAGAGAUGUCAUAGAACACCGAUUGCGAAGGCAGCUGACGAAACUAUAACUGACACUGAGGCUCGAAAGUGUGGGGAUCAAACAGG